GCAUUAAGUGUUACCCUUGUCCGUCUGUCUGUCCCGUCCAUCCCAAAAAUUUGUUACCGUUCUCUAACUUUAGUUUGCCUCAACCAAAUGUUUUGAAACUUAUACACAAUGCUCAUAACCACAAAACACAGAUCAUGUUUGAAAUUGGUUGGUGUCACUUUUACCGUUCAUGAGUUAUGCCCCUUUAUAAACAUAAAAAUUGCUGAAUUUUUCGUUUCCAUUCUCUAACUUUAGUAUGACUCAACCAAAUAUUAUAAAACUUAUACACAAUGCUUAUUACCACAAAACACAGAUCAAGUUCGAAAUUGGGUGGCUUCAGUUCUUGAGUUAUGCCCUUUAUAAAUGGAAAAAUUGCUAAAUCUGUUGUUUCCGUUCUCUAAUUUUAGUUUGCCUCAACCAAAUGUUAUGAAACUUAUACACAAUGCUUAUGAUCACAAAACGGUCUUAACGAUGUGAAUCCUACAUCUAUAUGUGGAAGUGGACUCGUGCAUAUUUACAAGAGGGGGCAUCUGUGGCCCAUAGACACAUUCUCCAUUUAUUUUAUUAUUUGUUUAUAGGCUGAUGUAAUGACAAUGAUUUCAUGGUGUUGGGAGUAAGAAUUGGAGAUCUGAUACUGCUAACAUGUUGGUUAGCAUCACAGCUUGUCAAUAGGGAUACUGGCUGGGGUAGCAUUUGGAUCUGUUUCAAGGUGUGUUCCUGCUGCUGCCUUGUGUGGUCAAUCCUGUGGACAAUAAUAAUCAUGCAAACCACAUAUAUGUUGCAUUUUUGUUUACUAAAAUCCUUAAAUGAUAAUUCUGAAAGCCAAAUGAUUAAUUUUUUAAUGCUGUUAUUUAUUUUCCAUUUACUGUAAACUCACAAAUUUUUGAUAUAUUUUUUUUACUGAAAAUUGCUACACCGAGAUAGAUUUUGCAAAAAUAAAAUUAUAUUUCAAAUUUUGAUAGCAUUAUUUAUUUGCAACAUGUCCUUAAUGACAAUAAUUAAUUUAAAUAAAUGCUUGCAAAUUUUUUUUGAAUUUA